UGAAGAGUUUGAUCAUGGCUCAGAUUGAACGCUGGCGGCAGGCCUAACACAUGCAAGUCGAACGGUAACAGGAAGCAGCUUGCUGCUUUGCUGACGAGUGGCGGACGGGUGAGUAAUGUCUGGGAAACUGCCUGAUGGAGGGGGAUAACUACUGGAAACGGUGGCUAAUACCGCAUAACGUCGCAAGACCAAAGAGGGGGACCUUCGGGCCUCUUGCCAUCAGAUGUGCCCAGAUGGGAUUAGCUUGUUGGUGAGGUAACGGCUCACCAAGGCGACGAUCCCUAGCUGGUCUGAGAGGAUGACCAGCCACACUGGAACUGAGACACGGUCCAGACUCCUACGGGAGGCAGCAGUGGGGAAUAUUGCACAAUGGGCGCAAGCCUGAUGCAGCCAUGCCGCGUGUAUGAAGAAGGCCUUCGGGUUGUAAAGUACUUUCAGCGGGGAGGAAGGUGUUGUGGUUAAUAACCGCAGCAAUUGACGUUACCCGCAGAAGAAGCACCGGCUAACUCCGUGCCAGCAGCCGCGGUAAUACGGAGGGUGCAAGCGUUAAUCGGAAUUACUGGGCGUAAAGCGCACGCAGGCGGUCUGUCAAGUCGGAUGUGAAAUCCCCGGGCUCAACCUGGGAACUGCAUUCGAAACUGGCAGGCUUGAGUCUUGUAGAGGGGGGUAGAAUUCCAGGUGUAGCGGUGAAAUGCGUAGAGAUCUGGAGGAAUACCGGUGGCGAAGGCGGCCCCCUGGACAAAGACUGACGCUCAGGUGCGAAAGCGUGGGGAGCAAACAGGAUUAGAUACCCUGGUAGUCCACGCCGUAAACGAUGUCUACUUGGAGGUUGUGCCCUUGAGGCGUGGCUUCCGGAGCUAACGCGUUAAGUAGACCGCCUGGGGAGUACGGCCGCAAGGUUAAAACUCAAAUGAAUUGACGGGGGCCCGCACAAGCGGUGGAGCAUGUGGUUUAAUUCGAUGCAACGCGAAGAACCUUACCUGGUCUUGACAUCCACAGAACUUUCCAGAGAUGGAUUGGUGCCUUCGGGAACUGUGAGACAGGUG
rnacentral:rRNA from 1 species